GUAAUCUCAGGAGCAAGAGAAAAGCUUUAAACCCGGUAAAACUGGUCAAAUUUAUGCCAAGAGACACAGAACAAUGGAUCGUGACCGGAGAUAGUUCUGGUGUCAUCCGUGUGAUUUUGUAUGAUAAAGAGAAAGAAAUGAAAACAUUCCGACAUGGCGCGGGUGCUGCUAUCACGUCGCUGGCAAUCCACCCAGAAAAACCACUCGUGCUAUCGGCGGAUGCAAAUGGUGUGAUCUGGCUAGAGAACUGGCAAGAUGGUAGGGUCAUUAGGAACGACAAGGUACCCGCCAGGAGGAUCCAUGUCAAGUUUAACCCAAAGGACAACUACAACACCUUUGUUAGCACUGACGAGCAUGACCUAAUGAAGGUUUGUGUUUUCUGUUGAAUGCACUACCUACUUCAUCAUCUGUUUGGUAAUUGGAUCAUACAUCAGAUUAAUUUUGGUCCUCACUACUCGAAAUUUAUUUAAAGGUCUGGGAAGUUAACGAUUCCACCCAGCCACCUACCGCCAUGCUAAAAGAAGAAAAGUUGGGGCAAGAUAACUUUUUCGAUUAUCUUUGCGCCGACGACAGUGAUCAGCAGUAUAUGAUUAUAUCGAAGAAUCUGGCUGAAGGAGGGGCUAUCGCAUACGUAUGGCACCCUCCGCUGAAGAACACACACAGUACAUCUAAUUCUUGUUCGCAUCUUUUGUUAGUGAUCUGUGCAACUAACGCUUUUCCUUUUUCUUCUGUUGAAUCAGAAAUGGGAUUUGCAGGCAGAGAAAAAGGCUCACACAAUUCUUUUCCGAGGCCAGGAAAUUACCGCGAUGUCGUGCCACCCAACACUUCCGGUAAUAGUUUUAGGUAUCAGGUCGUACCCCGGCGCUAUUUUCUUGUGGAACUCCACUAAUAACAGGUAAAACUCUCUUUUUUUUGUUGUUUGUAUCCAUAGGCACGUCUGAUGUUUUGUUCUUCAAUUUCCCCUGCACUUAACUUUUUCAACGAAAAAAUACAAAGGUAAUAAAUAUGCAGAAUAAGCUUUCUCAUGUUUUUCCUCCGUCUGCUGUACAAGAAAAAUUCCAUUCACUUUUGGAAAAGAUAAGCGAACAAAACAUAUUUCUUCUGGCUUUGCACAUUUUCAUUUGGAAAAAAAUUUGAAACACCCAAGGAACAGUGCCUGACCUAGAUGUUUUCCAAACUGCAGGUUCCAAUGAUUCGAUAACUUUUGCUGAUUUUUUCUGAGACGAUGUGUACACUUCUUAUGUUUGCAGGCUUGAAAAAGUGAUUGAUGAGUGCUACUUUGGUUUAAUUAAAGAGUUUGGUUUUAUAGGCUCAACAAGGUAAUUGAUCUUACUACUACUUUUGUACUUUGCUAACAUUAAAAUUGCAUAUGUCUAUACAUAUAUGUGAAUAAAGCUGCAAUUAUGUGAAUAAUAUCAUUUUUGCAUAAAUAAAGUAGUAUUGGUUAAAGUGCGCUUCUCUUUGUAUGCAUAGAAAUAAUGUUGUUUAAAACCUAAGAGUAGAAUAACAUAUUCUACUCCAUGGUUUACAUUGAAUAUUUAGACUACCACAUGGAUCAUAUGAAGUUGCAAAUAUACCCUAAGAGUAGUGAAACUAUCAAACAUAGAACAUAUGGAAGGUUCGAAAAAAUUAUUGUGUAAACAAUUGCCAAAGUUAUGACUAUUCACUAUCCUUAUGAUAUUAUAUUGAUCAAUUAUUUCAGUUUCUCCAAUAUAAUGUCCUUACAACAAUUUUAAGAUUUGUUCAAUGGUGUUGCAAUAAGUUCCGUCUACUUGCAAUCGGUUCAUUUUCUUGUUGCAGUUGUUAUGGUCUCUCGGUUGCAGCUGCAAGGUGGGUGCGUUCUUAACGGAUAAUCCACCUUGUUGUAUUUUAGCCUCGCCGUUGCAUUUUGACUUGUUUAUUUUUUAUCUCUAUUUUUCAUACUUGUGACCUACACCGUUCAAAUUGUGUAGGCUCAUCGUCAGAUAUGAUAAAGAUGAAUACGAAAUUCAAGAUGAAAUAAGAGUCCUGGAAAUCGAUUUGACAACAAUAGCAUAUCAGCAAGGUGGGUCCGUUCUUAACAGCUAAUCCACCUUGUUGUACUUAAGCCUCGCCGUUUCAUUUUGACUUGUUUGUUUUUUAUCUCUAUUUUUCUUACUUGUGACCUAAACCGUUCAAAUUGUGUAGGCUCGUCGGCAAAUAUGAAGGAUAUGAAUGUGUAAUAAUUGAAGAUGAAAUAAGAGUCAUGGAAAUCGAUAUGACAACAAUAGCAUAUCAGCAAUAGCAACAACCAUGUUGGACUUGGAGCUCCAUACUACCAUCAGUCCAUCACAAAAUGAUCUGCCAGGACUCGGCAUUACUUUUGAUCAAUUUGAUUUGAAAAAUCAAUUUUUAUGUGUGUGUGUUGACGGGAACAAUAAUGCAAAGUGUCAAUGUGCAUGAAAGAGAGAUUACGUAGUAAAUUUGUUGGCAAAUUUCUAUUCAUGUUGAAAUGCUUUCUAAAUAUAUGUAGUCAAAUAGGGGUAUAAAGACCCUCGUCUCUUGAUCGGACAUCCACUCUUCAUCCAUGGAUCCGGGUAACUCAUAGAGCAUGCAUUUUUCUUCUUGUCGGGCAUCCACUAACCCCAUCAUAGGCCAAUCUACUGCUACCCUUAUUUUUCCUUAUCCACUAACCCCAUCAUAGGCCAAUCUACCGCUACCCUUAUUUUUCCUUUAAACAUGACUUAUUUUUUGUUUAAACGAACAUGAGGGUUGCUGAUGAGCUUUUAGGCAACUAUUGGACCUGUAACCUCUUGUUCAAGUCGCUAACUCGCUAGUGUCGCGCGUAGACGAAGAAGAUCGAUCGGUGGACCAUAAAUCACCUCACAGAGCGCAGAGGUCAUAAAUUUGUCAAACAUGAGGGGUGCGGGGUUUGUUUUAAUAAAAACAUAUACCUUGCAUUGCAUGCUUAUAGAUGGUGCAUAACUUUGAUGUAAUACCGUUGGUUCCCUUCACAUUAUAUACCCAAAUUGCCGCUAUAGCUGAUUUCAACGCUACCCUAUGGAGCUAGUCAACUCCAUCGUGAAAUCUACGGUGUAGAUCUAUCUUCACUUCGCAUGUGCAUCGGCAUUGAUUAAUUACCAUAUUGAUUGUGUUUGUCAUAAUUUUUCCUUUGCCUUGGGAAUGAGCCUCUAUCUUUUAUAGUCUUUCUCCUAAUUAUUUUAUUUUCAUACUAGGGUCAUGCCCGUGCGUUGCUACGGGCGAAACAAAUCCUUUCCAUAAACAUUAAUUUUCAUUGUAUAAUUUUUUUAAAAACAUAUAUAAUAGAAGCAUUCACUUUGUUUUAAACAGAAGUACAAAUAAUUGUCAAAAAAAUAGAAUGCCUAGCUAUUUGAACACUUGGUAACAGAUUCUUUCCAUUGCCAGUUUCAUGUAAUCUUUCUGUCUCACAACUAUCAUCCUACUUCCACCACCCAGACGCUGGCAGAGCAAGCUCCGUGCUGCUAGCAGCUAGCGGCAACCUCCUUUGCUACCACUUCCCGUCGUCAACGUCUCCAUCAGCGCCACCACCAUCCCUCACACUGCCAACUGACCAUCCAUCCAACUAGUCAAUAAUGCAACAGUUAAAGGAAAAGAAAAUGAUGUCAAUAUAAAAUCAUCUGCUAUUGCCAUUUGUUCGAUCAAUCGCUGCUCAGGUAAGUUUGGUGCUUCGAUAAAGACUUGUAUUGGUUGGUGCUUCUUUUGAUUCGAUAAUUACUUGUAAUAUUUGUUGGUGCCUCGAUAAAGACUUGUAAUAUUUGUUAUUGCUUUCUGCCAUGUUUAUGGAUACAUUGCAAAAUGCUGGUGUUUGUACUCUCGAUGUACCUGUGAACCCUUUUUCCCCAUUGAGGAGUGGUUGCUUUGUUUCCAUUUUUUUUCUUUAUACGGUAUGCUUCAUUUUCUUGAGGUCGCACCAGCUGACAGGCAUGGCCCAAUCUAUACGUAUCCAGAAUGCUCAUCCAUAUGUCAACAAGUCAACAGAGAACAGGGUACCGGGUACAGAUACAGUGCCUUCACAGGUGACACAGACUACACUGGAAUGUGUGCAGGUUACUGAAGUUGCCAUUGCCAAAGAACUUGAGAUGCGAACUCUUGGAGCUCUGAACUGGUAACCUGUGGAACGUUCUAGAAAGAGGAGACACGGUUUAUUCCAUCAUCAGAAAGCUUAUUUGCUACAGGCCUACAGCUAUCGUCCGGGGUGAGAGCCUACACGGUCGUCGCCGGCGGCGCGCAUGGUGGGGUUGUUCACUUGGCGCCGCCGUGGGCGCUGGCCAUGUCGACGGGGGGCCUCUCGACGUCCUCCAUGUCCUCGCGCACGAACACCGCCUGGUCCAGCACCGACGGCCCAGCAGGCUGCUCGUGCGGGCCGCCGUUGCCGUUGCCGGCGGCCUCCUCGGCGGGGACGAAGACCCCCGUCUCCUGGUCGGGCACCCAGGCGUCGGCGGCCUCCUCGGCGGGGACGAAGACCCCCGUCUCCUGGUCGGGCACCCAGGCGUCGGCGGCCUCCUCGGCGCCCACGCCGCCCAGCGCGUCGGCCGCCUCGUCGGGGAGCAGCGUCGCGGACCGGUCCCCCUGCACCACCUCCACGUUCUUGCGGUUCAGCGACGCCUCCACCUGCACCGCGGUGACCGCCGCCGCCGACGCCGCGUUGUGACGGUCGCCGGCGCUUUGGUCCUCCCGGCGCUGUUGGGCGCUGCUGUGCAACAGACCCCGAGUUCCUCCGCUCCUGCAAAAGACCAACGCAGACAUGAAUAGUGAUGCGCAUCAGGAUCGUAAAGCUUACGAGGAUGCAAGAUCCGAGGAAAGGGAAGAGCUUGCAGAUCGAAAUGCACCCAUCGUCAACUCCGAAACGAGCUAAUUAUAAAACUUUAGCAGGCGAGGUACUAAACUUCAGGAGGGUCACAUCGAAUAUUCGGACGUUAAUUAGGAGGACUAAAUAUGAGCUAAUUAUAAAACUAACUGCAGAACUCAUAUACUAAUUCGCGAGAUGAAUCUAUUAAACCUAAUUAAUCCAUCAUUAGCAAAUGAUUACUGUAGCACCACAUUGUCAAAUCAUGGACUAAUUAGACUUAAUAGAUUCGUCUCGCGAAUUAGACUCCAUCUGUGCAAUUAGUUUUAUAAUUAGACUAUAUUUAAUAGUCCUAAUUAGUAUCCAAACAUCCGAUGUGACAGGUACUAAAGUUUAUGGGGUGUAUCCAAACACCCCCUGAUGGUCUGCUUGUUAUAUGUUACCUGCACUUCUCUUUGUAUGCAUAGAAAUAAUGUUGUUUAGAACCUAAGAGUAGAAUACUUCAUGGUUUACAUUGAAUAUUUAGACUACCACAUGGAUCAUAUGAAUUUGCAAAUAUACCCUAAGAGUAGUGAAACUAUCAAACAUAGAACAUAUGGAAGGUUAAAAAAAUUAUUGUGUAAACAAUUGCCAAAGUUAUGACUACUCACUAUCCUUGCCUUAUGAUAUUAUAUCGAUCAGUUAUUUCAGUUUCUAUCCUUACAACAAUUUUAAGAUUUGUUCAAUGCCCUUGCAAUAAAUUCCAUCUACUUGCAAUUGGUUCAUUUUCUUGUUGCAGUUGUUAUGGUCUCUUAGUUGCAGCUGCAAGGUGAGUGCGUUCUUAACGGAUAAUCCAUCUUGUUGUAUUUUAGCCUCGCCGUUGCAUUUCGACUUGUUUGUUUUUUAUCUCUAUUUUUCAUACUCGUGACUUAAACCGUUCAAAUUGUGUAGGCUCGUCGUCAGAUUAUGAAGGAGAAGAAUACAGGAGAAAAGAUGAAAUAAUAGUCCUGGAAAUUGAUAUGACUGUAGGAUUGAUUGGAACGGCUUACCCUUGAGGGGCGCAGGUAGCUUCAUUACAUAGGCUGGGAAGAGACAGGCAAAGAUAGGAUACAAGAUGAACUCCUAGUAGGAGUCUAGCACAUGGAAGAUUACAUGAAGGAGGACUCUGAGUCCGUAUCCUAUACAAUUACUUCUACAACCCCCUGCAAUCUCAACCGGCAAGGCUACUAGCCACGUGCAAGAUUGAGAUUGUUCCGAAAUUCUUCUAACCGGUGCACACAGAUUGAGCCUUCGUAAAACCAUCGGCCACCUGAUCAUCCAAAGAUAUAAUCUGAAUAUCCAACUGCUUCUGAGCAACUCUUUCGCGGACAAAAUGAUAAUCCAAUUCAAUAUUGUCGUUGUCAAGAUUUGCGGAUCAAGACUUAGACUAGUAAAUUUCUUUUAUGCGCGUAAGGCUUCGGAUGGUGGCGUGGGAGACACGGGAUUAGACUGGUUCGGGCAACGGAGGCCCUACGUCCAGUAUCGAGGGUGCUCGUGUUGCCCACGCGGGGUUCUGUAGUAGGGGUUACAGAUGAACGAGAGAGGGAACUGAUCCCAGGUCUCUUGAAGGCACUUGUGCUCUAAGGGGAUGCGAGGAUGUGCCAUUGGCUUGAGGGGGAAGAAUCCGAGCCCGCAGUCUCGGGCCCCCGAUGCCCCUUUUAUAUCGUAAGGGGACUGCCGGGGUUACAGGUGAGACCGGGUGAUGAGAGCAGUAAAGAGUUUAAACGUAGUAUGGUAAAAAUACAACACGAAGGGAGGAAUCAAGUUCCUAGGUUCCCGGCAUCCUCGCCGGCCUUCGGCGUCUGCCGGCGCGUAUGCUGGAGGAGGAGGGUGGCCGUGCGCCAACUGUCGUCGCGCCCUGCAGAUAGCCUCUUCGGUGUCUGUAGCCGCCGGGUCAUGAUGAGGGCAUUUCGUCGCCACUCUGGUGUCCGUUGGGAGGGACGGCGGAUGCCGCCGUCCUGCUGAUGGCUCGCGGAGAGCGGGCGUCACAUCCCUGCUGCCGGGCGCGCGGGACCCGAGAACGGGCGAGUCUUCCCUCUGCUUCGGGCGGCGCAGGCCAUGAGUACCCUGCGACGAAUGGAAGGAAGCCGCCGGUACUGUAGCUUGUACAGUGUGGUCGUGCAUGGGUACUUGCAGCGGGUUGCGUGAGGAGCGCGGUCAUCCUUCUUCCUGCCAGACCUGCGGUGCAUUUAUGAUGAGGUCAACAAGGGGGACCCACAUGAUCGUUAUCCUGAUCAUCCGGUCCACGCCCGAGGGGGAUAUCCGUCUUGUGGUCCCCAGUGAGUCCGGCCCCCGUGCCCAGGGUCGGGCGAGGCGGGACCUUGUGGCGAGGGGUCGGGUGCUCCCGACCUCGGGACCGCGGUCGGACGAGGCGGAGCCUUGCGACGAGGGGUCGGACGCUCCCGACCCCGGGACCGCGGUCGGGCGAGGCGGAGUCCCACUCAUGUUGGGCUUGACGGCGAUUUCGUUAUCCCGGAUGGGCCUGGGCCUUCAUGAUUGUUGCUUUAAGCGGUAUUUAGGAGAUCGUUAAUAUUUACCCCCAACAAAUAUGCUUAGUACGAAUAUGAAAGAUCGGAUUCGCCGACAGAUAUGUGGCACCAAUAUUAUCACACCAUAAAAUAGGAGCCUUGUGUUGGACAACCCCUAACUCAUCAAGAAGAGACUGAACCCAUAUAAUCUCAGUGGUAGCAUUGGCCAGCGCUUUAUAUUCAGCUUCCGUACCGGAAUGCGAAACUGUAGCUUGCUUCUUUGCUUGCCAUGAAGUCAAAUUGGGACCAUGAAAAAUAGCAAAACCACUAGUAGACUUACGAUCAUCAGAACAUCCAGCCCAGUCAGUGUCUGAAAAGGCACUAAGAAGCUGAGAAGAGGAGCGACAAAUCUUCAAGCCAAUCUGAAGCGGGCCACUAAUAUACCGCAAGAUAUGUUUAACCGCAGCAAAAUACAUAGUAGGCUGACAAAGGUACUGACAGACUUUAUUAACAGCAAAAGAAAUAUCUGGGCGUGUAAGUGUAAGAUACUGAAGACCCCCAACAAUACUUUGUUACCAAAUCCUUAACACAAAAGAAUGAAGGAUGAAAUUCAAGAAACAUGUCAUUGUCAAAAGUAAAUUGAUGAACAGAAAUCAAAUUCUUGGUGGCAGCAGGAACAUGUAAGACUUUAUUGAAAAGGUAAUCGCGGCUGGGAGUAUGAAAAACAGUAUCACCAAUAUGAGUAAUGCUCAUACAUUUGCCAUUGGCGGCAUAGAUCUGUUCCUGGGAGUAUGAAAAACAGUAUCACCAAUAUGAGUAAUGCUCAUACCUUUGCCAUUGGUGGCAUAGAUCUGUUCCUGGCCAUGGUACUUGUCAUGUGUAGUCAGCUGCUCAAGGGAACUGGUAAUGUGGUCGGUAGAGCCGGAUUCGAAGUACCAAUUUGUGUCAACUCCAUAUGAAGGAAUAAUAGCCGAUGCAUACUUCUUAAGAUCCGUCCUAAUAGGCUUCUGACCACCAUCACGUGGAGAGCCAUACUUCUUGUUGAAGUGAAACCAACAACAUGAACUAUAUGACCGUAUCGUUCGCAGAGCUGACAGAACGGGCCAUCAUCAAAAUCUUGGCUGUCGGAGGAGCCGCCUGUGUUGCGAGCAGGAGAAGAAACCAGAGCACCACGACUAGCACCACCUGAGCACCCAAAGCCACGCCCAUGAGAUGGUGCACGACCACGACCACGAUAAACAUUGUUUGCCAACGAAUAGAACCUGCCUUCACGUUGUUGAUUGAUCCGAGAUUCAAAGGAGAGAAGCUGAGCAUAUAGAUCACUCAAACUGACAGAAUCUUUGGUAGACAUAGAAGACACAAAAGGAUUAUAAUCCAAUUUAAUCCAUUGAGGAUGUAGCCAAUCAGUUCAUUAUCAAUAGCCUUGCCAGCCGCAGCUAUCUCAUCGGCAAGAGCUUUCAUCUUGGUAAAGAACUCAGCUGUUGAGGAAUCACCCUUCUUUUCCCUGGAUAGUUGGGAACGGAUCUGCAAUAUCUUGGAGCGAGAUUGCGAGGAAAGCAUCUUGUUAAUACCAUACCAGACUUGAGAUACAUGCUUAAGCGAAGAAACUUGGACUAGAACUUCCAUGGUCAUGGAGGACAAAAGAUAGGAGAGAAGAAGUUGAUCAUUGGCAAUCCACGUAAUAUAUGCAGGAUUCUCAAGUUCUUCAUAAGCUUUGUGGACCUUCUCAAUGCGAAGUGUCGCAGCAGGUUGGACCGACAAUCCAUCUAGGAUGCCCAUGAGGCGCGAUCCACGAAUUGCAGGUAAUACUUGUGCUCGCCACACAAGAAAGUUGUCUCGGGUAAGCUUCUCCAAGACAGGGAUGUAGAACAUUGCGGAAGCCGCCGUCGAGCUCAAGGACGCCAUGAAUGGCGUCGAUGGAAAAAAAAAACUAAGUACUGCUACUUCUUCAACUAGAUGCACUCUUUAGAGGAGGAUGUGGCUCUUAUACCAUGUAGGAUUGAUUGGAACAGCUUACCCUUGAGGGGCGCCUGUAGCUUUAUUAUAUAGGCCGGGAAGAGACCGGCAAAGAUAGGAUGCAAGAUUAACUCCUAGUAUGAGUCUAGCACAUGAAAGAUUACAUGAAGGACUCUGAGUCCGUAUCCUAUACAAUUACUUCUACAAUGACGACAAUAGCAUAUCAGCAUUUGCAACAACCAUGUUGGACUUGGAGCUCCAUACUACCAUCAGUCCAUCACAAAAUGAUCUGCCAGGACUCGGCAUUACCUUUUAUCAAUUUGAUUUGAAAAAUCAAUUUUUUUUAUGCGUGUGUGUUGACAGGAACAAUAAUGCAAAGUGCCACUGUGCGUGGAAAGAGAGAUUGCGUAGUAAAUAGGAUAAUCACAGGUGUGGCGCUCCUCAGAGUCCUCUCCGCGUGCUGCCACGCCGGCCGCGUCGACGACGGCCUCCGGCAGCUGAGCGACAUCUCGAGGUGGUGCUCCGUCACCCAGUGCUGGUCAUGUGAGCCGUCAGUGCCGUUGCCGGUUGAUUAAUUACCAUGUUGAUUGUGUUUGUCAUAAUUUUUUGCUUUGCUUUGGGAAUCUUUUUCCUAAUUAUUUUCAUACUAGGAUUAUGUCCGUACGUUGCUACGGGCAAAACAAAUUCAUUCCAUAAACAUUAAUUUUUCAUUGUAUAAUUUUUUUAACAACAUGUAUAAUAGAAGCAUUCUCUUGUUUUAAAUAGAAGUGCAAUUAAUUGUCAACAGAUAGAAUGCCAGUUUCAUGUAAUCUUUCUAUCGCACAACAUCCUACUUCCACCACCCAGACGCUCCACAGCACGACCACCAUCCCUCACACUGCCAACUAACCAUCCAUCCAACCAGUCAUAAGGAAAAUAAAAUGAUGUCAAUAUAAAAUCACAGGUUAGGAUAAGAGGCCUCAUCAUAUUACUAUAGACCUUCAGUAAAACCUAUCAAUGAACAAGUACAAUAUGCUACCGAUAUUGGUAAUUGGAUGGCACAAAACAGAUUAUAUACUUAUUUUAGUUUUCAUAUAAGACCUAGAACUUUUUUUUGAGAUUUGCGUUCUUACCCCUAUUUUGAACCCCAAUUAUGAUUUUACCCCUAUUUUUUUCACUUUGUAUUUUUACCCCUACUUUAUGAAAACAAAGCCUCUGUUUACCCUUAUUCCUAACUCUUAAAUCUGUCAGUUCCAUCCGGAAUAAAUGAAAUAAAAAAAUAGAAAAAAUCCUUUGUAAUAUGAUGAAAAGACAACAAUACCCCGUCCCUUCCUACCCCUCCACUCCCACCCACACCCAGUGCGGCGCCAGCACCGAAAGUGCGUGUUAUACAACUAGCUUUGAUAAUUGUAACUAUAGUUUUUAUCCUACAACGUGCAUCAUUGUGGGAUUGAGCAUGACCAAGUGCUGCCUACCUUUCCGAGAGCUAAAGUAGUUGGUGUCCUUGAUUACCAUCUUUUGAUGGCGUGUAAAGUGCAGUGCCUCCGAUUCUUAAUUAUCUCCACCCACACCUCUUCACUCCUUUAAUUUGAUUGGAGUGCUCUCUAGCUACUUCGUCGCGCACCUCCGGUCAUUGCUACUCCCUCAACACUUGCUUUGGGCCUCCCGGUCCUGGUAAGUUGUGGUAGCUGCUGAAUACUUGAUUAGUGCUAAUUAAUGGAGAUUAGACGACCUCUCUUGAUUCUACAUGUGGAUUUAUGCUUGUUGAUUGAGAGAAUUUUAUUCUUCUAAAUCUGUUUCCACUUCUCUGAGUUUAGUGUUGUAUUUAUUGGUAAAGGAGAUUUAUCAGGUAUCACUCGAGCAUCAUCCUAGGCAGCAAGGUUCUUGUAUUAGAAGAUGGCUCGCAAUCAAGAAGACAGACGCGCGCGCCUUGCCCUGGAGAAGGCGUUACAUGAUGAUCGCGUGGAGCCAAGCUUUGUUCCUCUCUCACUUCUCGAGGACAUCACAGGGAAUUUCUCCGAGGAUGCAGAGAUUGGCCGUGGAGCAUCUGCAACGGUAUACAAGGUGUGUAGUGUACCCUACGAAUGGAAUGUAUAACCCCUUCUUGACCUGCCUCUACUACGAAAUAAGUAACAACCAACGAUGUCAUCUACAGGGAAGCCUAGAGAAUGGAACGGUUGCCGUGAAGAGGCUAAAGAAGGUUAAAUGGGGAGAUUAUCAGUUUGGAGAUAAUGAGCUUAGUUGUAUGAUACAGGCCAAUCAUAAAAAUAUUGUAAGGCUCUUAGGAUACUGUCUUGUGGCAGAAAGAGCAUGGGUGCCCGUGCCCAGACCAGAAGGCUGGUCCUGGGAAGACGCAAAUCGCCAAUUGCUCCUCUGCACCGAGUACCUGCCUAAUGGCAGCCUUGACAGGUAUAUCAAAGGUAUGAUCAAUCAUGUACACAUAACAAAAUUUACUUCUUGCAAAUCUUUUUUUGUGAAUUACUCGACAAUUGACAUAUAAUAUAUGCUGCAUAUUCUCCGUAGACGAAUCUUGCAGAUUCCAAUGGAGCACACGCUAUCAAAUAAUAAAGGGAAUUUGUGAGGGCCUAGACUAUCUUCACCAGCAAACUGGGCCCAUUAUUCACAGGGAUCUCAAACCUGAGAAUAUACUACUAGAUCAUAACAUGGUGCCAAAGAUCGCGGACUUCGGUCUAUCAAGGAUCUUUAGCGAAGGACAAAUCGACGCCUCUACUGUAAACUUGGCUGGAACUCCGUAUGCUUCUGAUCGAGUCCUCUGUCAGAAACCCAGCAUUUGUUUUGGCUUCAACUACUAAGUAUGUUGCAUACAUAGCCUUCAAUUCAUCCAUUAACCAACGAAACUACAUGAAUUAUUUUGCAGCGGAUACAUGGCACCAGAGGUGUAUACAUUUGGCGCCAAUAACAGAGAUAGGAGAUUAAUGAUCUCAAGAGAGGCUGACAGAUAUAGUCUUGGCGUUAUAAUCAUGGAUCUUCUCGUGGGACGUGAUAAAACAAAAGAUUUUCUUCGGAAUAAACAAGGGGGACGCUACAAAGUUGACGAGGUAAUAACCAUCAGUAUGACGUACUGUUCCUAGUUACAGUAUAACAUCCUAAAAAAUCAGAAAAUGUAUUAAGCACAACUGACAAUAUGUUAUGGAAACAAGUCUUAGAUUAUUUGACUUCUUAUUAACCCCUAAAAAAAGGCAAAAUAAUGAUAGAUAUUAAGUCAUGAUGUACAGCAAAAAAAAACAUUCUCCUCUACAUUGUUUUAUUUGUUUGUUCAUCAGGAUCGCUGCAUGUGGUUUAUACAAACAUUAUGUGUGUUGAUUUCCUAGUAUAUAUUAAGAAUGCCGUUCCCUUUCUAAACCUCAUUGUGGUUGUAUUCGUAGGUACUUCAAUUUUGGGAGGGUGCGUUUAAGACACUAGCAGAGGAGCACCAUAUACUAGUUAGACAACAAGUAAAGUUAUGUGCUGAGAUAGCCAUGGAAUGCAUGGACAUGGAUCCACGGGAUGAGGUAAGAGAGAAUAGUUGCCUUAUCACUUCUUUUUAUCGCAUUAAUAUGUCUGACAAAAAUUGCCUAGGGUGCUUUGUUUUGAUGAUGUCUAGCAUCCAUUUUUCAUUUUUUCUGUUUGUCGCAGACUACUGGCGCCUCAGUUUCCGAAGAGAGGAGGACCCCUGAGCAAAGGCCUACGGCAUCCCAAAUCACCCGUAGGCUUGCUGAAAUGGAACAAUCAAACUGGGCAGCACUAGAGAAGGUAUGUGUGUGUAAUCAAAGUAGUCACGAUGACAGAAACUUCAUUUGAAUCUAUUGUUAUGCAAUACCUCUCUGGUAUCUUCCUUUCCAUUUUUCAAUUUGCUGUGCAUAGAUUUUUUAUAAACUUUUUGGGAUAAGGUGUGUUAUUAUUACACGUGUUAUCGCAGCUUUGCCUUGUUGGACCAACCCCAACCGAGAGUGAGGCACUAGCAGCACUUGACAUCCAGCCUCGCGUGCUCUGCUUUCACUUGAAGGAUGCUGAUGAUCACUUGAAGGAUGCUGAUGAUGAGGAAAGGACAUGCUUACUGAACCUAACCAACAGAUCCGAUGGUUAUGUUGGCUUUUGGAUUGAAACUCCUCGGGCCAUCUCUUGCGGUAAGAAAUGCGGAGGCAUUGUGGGUCCACUGAAUACUCGGGUUGUCGUUUUGAGGUUAAAAGGUCCACCUGUGGACACGGGCGUAGUCAAGAUACGGACAAUAGCGAUGAGCAUUUUGGAUGGCCUGAACAGCAAGGGGAUCAUUGAUAAUGGAGGGUUAUUCGCUGACUAUCUACUGGAAAUGAUCUGCAAAUCAGCUGAAGGCGCCUCAUUUGCUGGUGGAAAAAGGUUGCAUGAGACAGUACUGAUGACUGCUGUCAUCCGCCCAUCAUCAUUAGUACGCCCAUCAUCAAGACGACAAUAUGGUCAAAUUCAUUCCAUAGAUGUGCAUCCGGACAAACCAUGGUAAGCACAUACUGCAAUUAGUUAUUAGUGCGUUGACAUAAUUCAAUAUUAAACUUUGAUGACCAACAUUAGGUUGAUAUAAUUUGUGAGUUGCUAUAUGGCAGAAAAGUGGUUCCAUUAUAUUCUUAUUUAUAAACAUUACCAUUAUUGUGUGUCUUGUAGCUUUACAAUAAAUUACCCACAAUAUUAGAUUAUAUCUAUCUAAGGGGCGGUGGGCCGGGAGUAGCCUUUUAGGUCAAACUGUGCAGGCACUGGUGUGAUCCAUGCAAUUUGUUUUCCCCCCCCUUAAAACAGGAUUUUGAUCAGUCUCGGAGAGACCAUUUCCAUUUGGAACUACGACACGCAGGUAACUCAUGUUGUGCUCCCAUCUUGACCUGCUUAUAUUUGUUUAUUAUCUCAUCAUAUAUACACGCAUCAGGCUAAUGUGUUCAGUAAUCUCAGGAGGAAGAGGAAAGCUUUGCACCCGGUAAGCAAGGCAAAGGCAAAGGUUAUGACCUACGUAAUUAUAUUGAACUGGUCAAAUUUAUGCCAAGAGAGGGAGAAGAAUGGAUCGUGACCGGAGAUACUUCUGGUGUCAUCCGUGUGAUUUUGUAUGAUAAAGAGAAAGAAAUGAAAACAUUCCGACAUGACACGGGUGCUGCUAUCACGUCGCUGGCAAUCCACCCAGAAAAACCACUCGUGCUAUCGACGGAUGCAGAUGGUGCGAUCUGGCUAGAGA
rnacentral:lncRNA from 1 species